rnacentral:rRNA from 1 species
GAUGAACGCUGGCGGCGUGCCUAAUACAUGCAAGUCGAGCGAACGGACGAGAAGCUUGCUUCUCUGAUGUUAGCGGCGGACGGGUGAGUAACACGUGGAUAACCUACCUAUAAGACUGGGAUAACUUCGGGAAACCGGAGCUAAUACCGGAUAAUAUUUUGAACCGCAUGUUUCAAAAGUGAAAGACGGUCUUGCUGUCACUUAUAGAUGGAUCCGCGCUGCAUUAGCUAGUUGGUAAGGUAACGGCUUACCAAGGCAACGAUGCAUAGCCGACCUGAGAGGGUGAUCGGCCACACUGGAACUGAGACACGGUACAGACUCCUACGGGAGGCAGCAGUAGGGAAUAUUCCGCAAUGGGCGAAAGCCUGACGGAGCAACGCCGCGUGAGUGAUGAAGGUCUUCGGAUCGUAAAACUCUGUUAUUAGGGAAGAACAUAUGUGUAAGUAACUGUGCACAUCUUGACGGUACCUAAUCAGAAAGCCACGGCUAACUACGUG